UUUAUAUCUCUACGCAGCUUUUCUCUCUCCCUGAUCAACUGAAGGUGAUCGCUCCAUAGGUAUGCUACAUCUCUUCAAGAAUUUCGAGAAAUUGGUUGUCAAUUUGGAAUCCUUGGAGUGAUGUGGUUUACCAGUGGAUCGGAUCGCUAUUUAUCUCUCUCCGAUUUAUUUGCUUCCUCAGAGAAGAAGGGCUCUUUGUUGAAUUGGGUGGGCGAGUGAUGCUUUGGGGAUACUGAAUCAAUUGGUGGAGGAAGGUUUCGAUUUGGAUCAAAAGGUUUGUUCUUUGAUGCCCGCGACGACGUGUCGGCAGCCGAAUUACGGAGUCGGCGGCGAUGAUUGUGAAAUUUGGGGUUUUUUUUAUGAGCUCAAAUGUUUAGGGUUUAAACCCAAAAGCGAUGAUUUCUUGAAUGUAAUUAAGGCAUGGAUGCAUUAGGUUUAUUGAAACAGAUGAAGGCGAAUAAAAUUGAGGCUAAUGUUUAAAA